rnacentral:rRNA from 1 species
GACGAACGCUGGCGGCGUGCCUAAUACAUGCAAGUCGAGCGCAGGAAACUGACGGAACUCUUCGGAGGGAAGGCAGCGGAAUGAGCGGCGGACGGGUGAGUAACACGUAAGGAACCUGCCUCAAGGAUUGGGAUAACUCCGAGAAAUCGGAGCUAAUACCGGAUAGUUCAACGGACCGCAUGGUCCGCUGAUGAAAGGCGCUUCGGCGUCACCUUGAGAUGGCCUUGCGGUGCAUUAGCUAGUUGGGGGGGUAACGGCCCACCAAGGCGACGAUGCAUAGCCGACCUGAGAGGGUGAUCGGCCACACUGGGACUGAGACACGGCCCAGACUCCUACGGGAGGCAGCAGUAGGGAAUCUUCCACAAUGGACGAAAGUCUGAUGGAGCAACGCCGCGUGAGUGAUGAAGGUUUUCGGAUCGUAAAACUCUGUUGUAAGGGAAGAACACGUACGAGAGGAAAUGCUCGUACCUUGACGGUACCUUACGAGAAAGCCACGGCUAACUACGUGCCAGCCGCCGCCGCAGUAA